rnacentral:tRNA from 1 species
GAUGGUAGCUCAGUUGGUUAGAGCGACUGUCUGAUAAGCAGUAGGUCGGUGGUUCAAUUCCACCCCGUCC